rnacentral:rRNA from 1 species
AGUCACUGACAUUAGAUACCCGUGUAGUCCAGGGUGUAAACGCUGCAGACUUGGUGUUGGAGGCCCGUUUGGGGGCAUUCAGUGCCGGAGAGAAGUUGUUAAGUCUGCUACGUUGGGAGUACGUCCGCAAGGAUAGAAACUUAAAGGAAUUGGCGGGGGAGCACCGCAACGGGAGGAGCGUGCGGUUUAAUUGGAUUCAACACCGUAAACUCACCAGGGAAGACUGUUACAUGAAGGCCGAGAUGAAGACUCUGCUAGAUUUUCAG